GAUGAACGCUAGCUACAGGCUUAACACAUGCAAGUCGAGGGGCAGCAGGGAUUUAGCUUGCUAAAUUCGCUGGCGACCGGCGCACGGGUGCGUAACGCGUAUCCAACUUUCCCGUUACUCUCGGAUAGCCUUCCGAAAGGGAGAUUAAUACGAGAUGGUGUUCUAAUUUCGCAUGUUAUUAGAACUAAAGAUUUAUCGGUAACGGAUAGGGAUGCGUGACAUUAGAUAGACGGCGGGGUAACGGCCACCGUGGCUACGAUGUCUAGGGGUUCUGAGAGGAAGGUCCCCCACACUGGAACUGAGACACGGUCCAGACUCCUACGGGAGGCAGCAGUGAGGAAUAUUGGUCAAUGGUCUGACGACUGAACCAGCCAUGCCGCGUGAAGGUCACGGCCCUAUGGGUCUUAAACUUCUUUUGCGAGGGAGCAAUAAGGUCUACGUGUAGUCCGAUGAGAGUACCUCGCGAAUAAGCAUCGGCUAACUCCGUGCCAGCAGCCGACGG
rnacentral:rRNA from 1 species